GAUGAACGCUGGCGGCGUGCCUAAUACAUGCAAGUCGAGCGAACAGACGAGGAGCUUGCUCCUCUGACGUUAGCGGCGGACGGGUGAGUAACACGUGGAUAACCUACCUAUAAGACUGGGAUAACUUCGGGAAACCGGAGCUAAUACCGGAUAAUAUAUUGAACCGCAUGGUUCAAUAGUGAAAGACGGUUUUGCUGUCACUUAUAGAUGGAUCCGCGCCGCAUUAGCUAGUUGGUAAGGUAACGGCUUACCAAGGCAACGAUGCGUAGCCGACCUGAGAGGGUGAUCCGCCACACUGGAACUGAGACACGGUCCAGACUCCUACGGGAGGCAGCAGUAGGGAAUCUUCCGCAAUGGGCGAAAGCCUGACGGAGCAACGCCGCGUGAGUGAUGAAGGUCUUCGGAUCGUAAAGCUCUGUUAUUAGGGAAGAACAAAUGUGUAAGUAACUAUGCACGUCUUGACGGUACCUAAUCAGAAAGCCACGGCUAACUACGUG
rnacentral:rRNA from 1 species